rnacentral:rRNA from 1 species
UGGGGAAUAUUGGGCAAUGGAGGCAACUCUGACCCAGCAACGCCGCGUGAAUGAUGAAGGUCUUCGGAUUGUAAAGUUCUUUUCUAAGGGAAGAAGAAAGUGACGGUACCUUAGGAAUAAGCCUCGGCUAACUACGUGCCAGCAGCCGCGGUAAUACGUAGGAGGCAAGCGUUAUCCGGAAUGACUGGGCGUAAAGGGUGCGUAGGUGGUUUGACAAGUUGGUAGCGCAACUCCGGGGCUCAACCUCGGCACUACUACCAAAACUGUUGAACUUGAGUGCAGGAGGGGCAAAUGGAAUUCCUA